ACGAAAUUGGGAAAGGAAUUAGGUUACCUCUCACGCUCUUCUCUCCUCACACCUCUGAGCAAGCGGCGGCCGGAGAUUUUGUCUUCUCCGAUCAACCUCCUAAUCGUCGCUACACUCUCCCUCUCGUCUAUAUUCUCCGUCUCAAACUCGAACUCUCCCUCAAACAUGAACGGCGACGGCGAUACUUCUCCUUCUCCGAUCGGAAACAAGUCGCGAGUACCGAUUGACCUCCCUGUCCUCGUCUCUUGCAAUAUCUUCUUCUUUGUGUUGUUGUUCGCAGAGAUGUUUGUUGAAGGUCGUUGCGGAGAUGAUGAUUGUGCGAUUCUCAGGUUUGGAUGCAGAAUCGUGAAGUGGUGAAGAUUUGAUGGAUAAAGAAUCGGUGAAGGUUGAUGAUGGAGAGGAUUACGACGAUGAUUCACGAAGGAGGUGGAGUGCGAUGAUGAAGAGGUUGAUGAAGAUUCGGUUCUCGUUUUCAGUUACAGGUUCGUUCCAGUGCUUUUUCGGUUAUCAAUUCUCCUUCUCCUUUCUUUCUGUUAUCGUCUUGUUGUGUUCUUCUGUGUGGUGUGAGAACUGAGGGAUGUUGAGAGUUGUUGUUCGUGUGGUGUGAGGGCGAAAGAUGAAGUUGAAGGUUGGUGGUGAAGAAGGUGUGGCAGCGUGAUGAUGAAUGUUCAGAGAGUGAAGGUUAUGGAGAAAGAUUGAAGGAGAAGAAAGAGAGGUUGCAGAGAAUUAUGAGAGAGAAGGAGGUGGUGGAGAAGGUGUGGCAGCGUGAUGAUGAAUGUUCAGAGAGUGAAGGUUAUGGAGAAAGAUUGAAGGAGAAGAAAGAGAGGUUGCAGAGAAUUAUGAGAGAGAAGGAGGUGGUGGUGAAGGGUGUAUGAGGUGUGAAAAUGGCGUCCUUUGAAUUGUGGAGGGAGAUUGAUUUAUAUAGAGUUCAUGAGAGGAUGUGAGCCAUUGGAUUGGUGAGAAGCGGUUAGAGAAUCUAAGGGUGGAGAUUGAGCGGUUAUAAGUUGGUUAGAGUUCUGUUUUGGUUAGUUAGGAAUUCUGUUAGGUUGUUAUAGGUGGUUAGAAAAUUCAGUUAGGAGCUGAGUUAUGUUAGUUUGUUGUUAGGGAUAGUUUAGAACAUGGCUGAAUGAUAUAUGAUGUGUGUAUGUAUGCUGAACUUGUUUCUUCAUAUUCUUUUUUGGAUGCGGAUUAUGGAAAGUAGAAUGAUCCUUUGAGGUAUGUUGAAGCGCGGUUUGUGAAUGAAUGGAGCUAUGAGUAUCGAACUAUAUUGCAGUCAAUUUUGGUUUGUGAUGUAUGGAUUGUUUGCUGCAUCAUAGUGGGACUGUGGUUGCAGGGAUGUAUUUGACGGCAAACGAACGGGGCUGUAAAGUGCUGCAGUGUGUUUUUUGUAUAUUUCGGAGUCGACUCGGUUUUAAUUGCUGGAACUGGGGAGCGUUUGCAGGGACCAUUGUAGCGAGUUCUUUUCCUUUAUAUUGCAGGGAACCGGUGCUUCAGAUGGAUUUGGCUCGGCUGCGAAUUACACUUGAGUGUGAACUGGAAUGCUGAAUGCUCGCAUGAAUCUUAUUGGCGAAAAGGAAUUGCAUAUGGUGAUUUUAACGGUACGACAUAUGUAGCAAGUGGUAGAAGUGGGACUGCAGGGACAGGUUUCUAGAGUUCAAAUCCAGUCAACUUGAUCCAUGGUCAACAGCUGAUUUUAUUGUUAUUUCAUUUUGUAGUAUAUAUUUUUGUAAUGGGUAUUGAUUUUGAAAGGGUACUUGUGGUGAACUUGAAUGAAUUUUGGAUGAAGAUAUGUAUUUAUGUGUGUAGCUCGAUGAAGCUUGCUUGGACACUUAUAUGCUAUUUUUUUUUGUGUAAUUUCCUUUGAGGUAACGUACUGUAACAAACGGAUCUCAUGAGGAAAUGGAUUUCAUUGCCAUGGAAUAGCGAAUGAAUAUUGUAAAGAAAUUCUCUUUUAUUCCUUUUUUCUAA